rnacentral:rRNA from 1 species
CCAAUAGCGUAUAUUAAAGUUGUUGCAGUUAAAAAGCUCGUAGUUGAAUUUCGGGGUCGGUAGGUUGGUCGUGCCAUCGGUAUGCACUGGUCUCACCGAUUCCUCCCUCUUGUAGAAGCGUAAUGCCAUUAAGUUGGUGUUGCGGGGAAACAGGACUGUUACUUUGAAAAAAUUAGAGUGUUUACAGCAGGCUAACGCUUGAAUACAUUAGCAUGGAAUAAUGAAAUAGGACGUCGAUCCUAUUUUGUUGGUUUCUAGGGUUGACGUAAUGAUUAAUAGGGAUAGUGGGGGGCAUUAGUAUUCAAUUGUCAGAGGUGAAAUUCUUGGAUUUAUUGAAGACUAACUACUGCGAAAGCAUUUGCCAAGGAUGUUUUCAUUAAUCAAGAACGAAAGUUAGGGGAUCGAAGACGAUCAGAUACCGUCGUAGUCUUAACCAUAAACUAUGCCGACUAGGGAUCGGAUGAUGUUAAUUUUUUAAUGACUCAUUCGGCGCCUUACG